rnacentral:lncRNA from 1 species
UUUCCCCGGAAUUCCGGGCAAUUCCCGGGAAUUUUGCAGCUCCACCUGCUCCAUGUGGAGGGCGCUGGGGUCGGAGCCGGCGCUGAAUUCCCAAAUCCUGGAGCUGCUCCUGGAAAAGUUGGAUUCGGAAAUUCCCUACAAGGAGAAGAAAUUCCCGCUGGGAAACGGCGCCGAGCGCGUGGCCACGGCAACGGGGCUGGCGGUGAGUGGUCCAGGGGAUUCCCGGAAUUCCAGAGGGAUCCCAGAAUUCCAGAGGGAUUCCAGGGGAUCCCAGAAUUCCAGGGGGAUCCCAGAAUUCCAGGGGGAUCCCAGAAUUCCAGAGGGAUCCCAGAAUUCCAGGGGGAUUCCAGGGGGAUUCCAGAAUUCCAGGGGAUUCCCGGAAUUCCAGGGGGAUCCCAGAAUUCCAGGGGGAUUCCCAGAAUUCCAGAGGGAUUAUCCAGGAAUUCCAGAGUGAUUCCAGAAUUCCAGAGGGAUUCCCAGAAUUCCAGGGGAUCCCAGAAUUCCAGGGAAAUUCCAGGGGAAUUCCCAGAAUUCCAGAGGGAUUCUCCAGGGGGAUUAUCCAGGAAUUCCAGAGGGAUUCCAGAAUUCCAGAGGGAUUCCAGAAUUUUAGGGAAAUUCCAGGGGAAUUCCCAGAAUUCCAGAGGGAUUCUCCAGGGGGAUUAUCCAGGAAUUCCAGAGGGAUCCCAGAAUUCCAGAGGGAUUCCAGAAUUUUAGGGAAAUUCCAGGGGAAUUCCCAGAAUUCCAGAGGGAUUCCAGAAUUCCAGAGGGAUUCUCCAGAGGGAUUCCCAGAAUUCCAGAGGGAUUCCUGGAAUUCCAGAGGGAUUCCGGAAUUCCAGGGGAAUUCCCAGAAUUCCAGAGGGAUUCCAGAAUUCCAGGGGAAUUCCAGAGGGAUUCCAGGGGGAUUCCCAGAAUUCCAGAGGGAUUCCAGGGGGAUUCCAGAAUUCCAGGGGGAUUCCCGGAAUUCCAGGGGAAUUCCCAGAAUUCCAGGGGAAUUCCCGAAAUUCCAGAGGGAUCCCAGAAUUCCAGGGGGAUCCCAGAAUUCCAGGGGAAUUCCCAGAAUUCCAGAGGGAUUCCCGGAAUUCCAGAGGGAUUCCCAGAAUUCCAGAGGGAUUCCAGGGGGAUUUUCCAGGAAUUCCAUGGGAAUGGGUUGGGGGGAGGGAUUUGGGGGUUUGGGGAUGGAGGGAGGGGAAAAAUUCCCAGGGAAAAAUUCCCAAAGGGGGAAAUUCCCAAAGGAAAAAUUCCUAGGGAAAAAAUCCAGGGGGAAAAAAUUCCAAGGGGGGGGAAAUUCCCAGGGAAAACCCCAAAAACUUGGAAUUCUCAGCAGGAAAUUCCCCAAAUCCAUGGAAAUCCCAGCAGGAAAAAAACCCCCAAAUCUGGGAAUUCCCGGCAGGAAAAAUCCAAAGUCCAAGGAAAAAAAUCCAAAUCCAUGAAAAUUCCAGCAGGA